GGAUAAUAGCACACAAGUCACGUUUCGCGGAAAACCUUUACGAUGUGAACACGAAGUUAGUGAGGAUGAGGAAGAGGGGGAGGAGGAGGAGGAGGUGGAAAAGGAGGAAGGUCGAAACGAUUCAGAAACUCGAGGGAUAUAUUAUCAGAGUGAACUGAAAAAUUCGCAACCAUAAAUAUAUCACGAAUAUAUUUUUCCGAGAAUCAACCGUACACGCGAUGCGGACUUUUGAUCCUGUGUUUGUUUCGUUGCAGUGGUUCGAUCGAAAAGAUACUAGGAAUUUCUAGUGAUUUAUAAUAACAUAUCCCUAGAAUCUUGAUUAUACGAAUAUAAUGAAGUACGAAAUUGAAAUUCAAAUCUCCCAGUUUUUUGGGUCAACUUUUGUUUAUACAACAAUGCACGUAAUUGUCCGUUUUUAUCUCUUCCUACACUUUAGAAACAAAUAUUUCGUUAAUCGCACUGAUCUGUCGACUUUGAACGUAUAAUGAUCAAACUUAUCGAGGGUUAUAGUUCGUAAAAAUCUACUUGACCCGGGGAAAAGUUCGUUGAAAAAUUGAAGGCUUUACCGUUCAGUGUUAAAAAUGCGCGUACAUUAUCAGUGAAAUGUAAGAAGCAUAGACGUGUAAUGAAAUAACAUGAUACAAUAACUAGAACACCUAUAGUUAUUUCGUGUGGUAUGUAAUUAUUUCAUAAAAAAAAAAGUUAGAUAAAAUGUAGUAUAAACUUGGCCUCGAAUACUUAGUUAUUUCAUAAAUUAACUGAAUUAAACACAUUUGAACAAUAA
rnacentral:lncRNA from 1 species